GAUGAACGCUGGCGGCGUGCCUAAUACAUGCAAGUCGAGCGAACAGACGAGGAGCUUGCUCCUCUGAUGUUAGCGGCGGACGGGUGAGUAACACGUGGAUAACCUACCUAUAAGACUGGGAUAACUUCGGGAAACCGGAGCUAAUACCGGAUAACAUGUUGAACCGCAUGGUUCAACAGUGAAAGACGGUCUUGCUGUCACUUAUAGAUGGAUCCGCGCCGCAUUAGCUAGUUGGUAAGGUAACGGCUUACCAAGGCAACGAUGCGUAGCCGACCUGAGAGGGUGAUCGGCCACACUGGAACUGAGACACGGUCCAGACUCCUACGGGAGGCAGCAGUAGGGAAUCUUCCGCAAAGGGCGAGAGCCUGACGGAGCAACGCCGCGUGAGUGAAGAAGGUCUUCGGAUCGUAAAACUCUGUUAUUAGGGAAGAACAAAUGUGUAAGUAACUAUGCACGUCUUGACGGUACCUAAUCAGAAAGCCACGGCUAACUACGUG
rnacentral:rRNA from 1 species